GCGAGGCCGAAAGGCGUAGUCGAUGGGAAACAGGUUAAUAUUCCUGUACUUGGUGUUACUGCGAAGGGGGGACGGAGAAGGCUAUGUUGGCCGGGCGACGGUUGUCCCGGUUUAAGCGUGUAGGCUGGUUUUCCAGGCAAAUCCGGAAAAUCAAGGCUGAGGCGUGAUGACGAGGCACUACGGUGCUGAAGCAACAAAUGCCCUGCUUCCAGGAAAAGCCUCUAAGCAUCAGGUAACAUCAAAUCGUACCCCAAACCGACACAGGUGGUCAGGUAGAGAAUACCAAGGCGCUUGAGAGAACUCGGGUGAAGGAACUAGGCAAAAUGGUGCCGUAACUUCGGGAGAAGGCACGCUGAUAUGUAGGUGAAGUCCCUCGCGGAUGGAGCUGAAAUCAGUCGAAGAUACCAGCUGGCUGCAACUGUUUAUUAAAAACACAGCACUGUGCAAACACGAAAGUGGACGUAUACGGUGUGACGCCUGCCCGGUGCCGGAAGGUUAAUUGAUGGGGUUAGCGGUAACGCGAAGCUCUUGAUCGAAGCCCCGGUAAACGGCGGCCGUAACUAUAACGGUCCUAAGGUAGCGAAAUUCCUUGUCGGGUAAGUUCCGACCUGCACGAAUGGCGUAAUGAUGGCCAGGCUGUCUCCACCCGAGACUCAGUGAAAUUGAACUCGCUGUGAAGAUGCAGUGUACCCGCGGCAAGACGGAAAGACCCCGUGAACCUUUACUAUAGCUUGACACUGAACAUUGAGCCUUGAUGUGUAGGAUAGGUGGGAGGCUUUGAAGUGUGGACGCCAGUCUGCAUGGAGCCGACCUUGAAAUACCACCCUUUAAUGUUUGAUGUUCUAACGUUGACCCGUAAUCCGGGUUGCGGACAGUGUCUGGUGGGUAGUUUGACUGGGGCGGUCUCCUCCUAAAGAGUAACGGAGGAGCACGAAGGUUGGCUAAUCCUGGUCGGACAUCAGGAGGUUAGUGCAAUGGCAUAAGCCAGCUUGACUGCGAGCGUGACGGCGCGAGCAGGUGCGAAAGCAGGUCAUAGUGAUCCGGUGGUUCUGAAUGGAAGGGCCAUCGCUCAACGGAUAAAAGGUACUCCGGGGAUAACAGGCUGAUACCGCCCAAGAGUUCAUAUCGACGGCGGUGUUUGGCACCUCGAUGUCGGCUCAUCACAUCCUGGGGCUGAAGUAGGUCCCAAGGGUAUGGCUGUUCGCCAUUUAAAGUGGUACGCGAGCUGGGUUUAGAACGUCGUGAGACAGUUCGGUCCCUAUCUGCCGUGGGCGCUGGAGAACUGAGGGGGGCUGCUCCUAGUACGAGAGGACCGGAGUGGACGCAUCACUGGUGUUCGGGUUGUCAUGCCAAUGGCACUGCCCGGUAGCUAAAUGCGGAAGAGA
rnacentral:rRNA from 1 species